CCCUUAGAUGUCCUGGGCCGCACGCGCGCUACACUGAGUGUCUGAGAUACGAGUCUGCCUAGCCGGCGAGGUCUAGGUAAUCGCUGAAAGACACAUCAUGCUUGGGAUAGAUUAUUGCAGAUAUUAAUCUUGAACGAGGAAUUCCUAGUAAGCGCAAGUCAACAGCUUGCGUUGAUUACGUCCCUGCCCUUUGUACACACCGCCCGUCGCUACUACUGAUUGGAUGUUUAAGCGAGGUUCUCGAACUGCUAGCGACUUAGCUUCGGUGAGGUCGCCGUGUGGGAAGUGAACCUAGCUUUGGUGUCUAGAGGAAGUAAAAGGCGUAUCA
rnacentral:rRNA from 1 species